AGAGACAGCAGCCGCCGCGGUAAUACGAAGGGUGCAAGCGUUACUCGGAAUUACUGGGCGUAAAGCGUGCGUAGGUGGUGGUUUAAGUCCGUUGUGAAAGCCCUGGGCUCAACCUGGGAAUUGCAGUGGAUACUGGGUCACUAGAGUGUGGUAGAGGAUAGUGGAAUUUCCGGUGUAGCAGUGAAAUGCGUAGAGAUCGGAAGGAACAUCUGUGGCGAAGGCGACUAUCUGGGCCAACACUGACACUGAGGCACGAAAGCGUGGGGAGCAAACAGGAUUAGAUACCCCAGUAGUCCCUGUCUCUUAUAA
rnacentral:rRNA from 1 species